UACGUAGGUGGCAAGCGUUGUCCGGAUUUACUGGGCGUAAAGAGCGCGCAGGCGGUCGUGCAAGUCGCGUGUGAAAGCCCCCGGCUCAACUGGGGAGGGUCACGCGAUACUGCUCGACUCGAAGGCAGGAGAGGGAAGUGGAAUUCCCGGUGUAGUGGUGAAAUUCGUAGAUAUUGGGAAGAACACCAGUGGCGAAGGCGGCUCACUGGCUCGUAACUGACGCUCAGGCGCGACAGCGUGGGGAUCAAACAGG
rnacentral:rRNA from 1 species